rnacentral:rRNA from 1 species
CCUACGGGAGGCAGCAGUGGGGAAUAUUGGACAAUGGGCGCAAGCCUGAUCCAGCCAUGCCGCGUGAGUGAUGAAGGCCCUAGGGUUGUAAAGCUCUUUCAACGGUGAAGCGGUAACCGUAGAAGAAGCCCCGGCUAACUUCGUGCCAGCAGCCGCGGUAAUACGAAGGGGGCUAGCGUUGUUCGGAAUUACUGGGCGUAAAGCGCACGUAGGCGGAUUGUUAAGUUAGGGGUGAAAUCCCAGGGCUCAACCCUGGAACUGCCUUUAAUACUGGCAAUCUCGAGUCCGAGAGAGGUGAGUGGAAUUCCGAGUGUAGAGGUGAAAUUCGUAGAUAUUCGGAGGAACACCAGUGGCGAAGGCGGCUCACUGGCUCGGACUGACGCUGAGGUGCGAAAGCGUGGGGAGCAAACAGGAUUAGAUACCCUUGUAGUC